rnacentral:rRNA from 1 species
UACGGAGGGGGCUAGCGUUGUUCGGAAUUACUGGGCGUAAAGCGCGCGUAGGCGGAUCUGCAAGUCGGGGGUGAAAUCCCGAGGCUCAACCUCGGAACUGCCUUCGAUACUGCGGGUCUCGAGUCCGGGAGAGGUGAGUGGAAUUCCUAGUGUAGAGGUGAAAUUCGUAGAUAUUAGGAAGAACACCAGUGGCGAAGGCGGCUCACUGGCCCGGGUACUGACGCUGAGGCGGCGAAAAGCGUGGGGAGCAAACAGG